ensembl:snRNA U6 U6 spliceosomal RNA
CUUGCUUUGGCAACACAUACUAAAAUUGACAGAUACAGAGAAGAUUAUAAUGCAUGGUGCCUGCACAAGGAUGAUGCAAAAAAUUUGAGGCAUUCUAUAUUAAA